ACAGCAUCACCUUGGCAGCUGAUGGGCGGGAGGACAGGUCCAGGCGGCCUCCAGGCACGUUCCUGUUUGUGUGACAUUCACCGUGACAUGGUGCAUGCCGUGGCACACAGGGUCCUGUGUUCAGAUAAGCCAGGGCCUCGGAGGAACUCAGGCGGAGGAAAGAGCCGGAACACAAACACAGCGCGACCUUUCCCGGGAAGCGGCCCCUCCAGGAAUGCGCCCUGGGCCCCCCUGCCAAGCCCUGGGCCUCCAUGGCCAAGUACCCCUCACUUCCACCAUCCGCGACUCGGUUCACUCCAGUUGAGCCCCAAGAGCCUCUGCUGAGCCCAACCCGGAAGGGCGAGGGAGCCUCGGUGGCCAGAGAGGGCCGAGGCCUGUUGGGAUGACUGCACUCCUUCAGGACAGGCACCCUCUGUGACGGGGACAUGCAGGGACCACUGCGGCUGCCCUGGCCCAAGACGCCCUGGAGGCCAGGCGGGCAGGGCCCCUUCAUCCUUCAGGAGGUGGGACUGGGCUGGGUUUUGAAGGAUGGCAGCGUCCAGGUAGACUGAGGGCACAGACAGGGAAGGCCACACAGGCCUAAAAGCACACAGACUUAGGCGGGCGGGAAAUGUGAGGUCAAAUCCUGGAGCCCUCGGAGGGGG
rnacentral:lncRNA from 1 species